rnacentral:rRNA from 1 species
UACGUAGGUGGCAAGCGUUGUCCGGAUUUAUUGGGCGUAAAGCGAGUGCAGGCGGCUCGAUAAGUCUGAUGUGAAAGCCUUCGGCUCAACCGGAGAAUUGCAUCAGAAACUGCCGAGCUUGAGUACAGAAGAGGAGAGUGGAACUCCAUGUGUAGCGGUGAAAUGCGUAGAUAUAUGGAGGAACACCGGUGGCGAAGGCGGCUCUCUGGUCUGUUACUGACGCUGAGGCUCGAAAGCAUGGGUAGCGAACAGGAUUAGAAACCCACGUAGU